GCCCCCUGCCGGCCGCGGAGGGCGCGCCUUGGAGGGAGAGGACUUUAGGUGACGCCGCCAGGAGGCGAAAUUUCACCUGCCAGCAGCUCUGGAGGUCAAAAGAAAUGAGACUGCUGGGCUAAGAUCAAGGUGUCAGCAGGGCUGUAUUCCUUCCCAAGGCUCCAGGGGAGAAUCUGUUCACUUGCCUUUCCCAGCUUCUAGAGGUUGCCUACAUUCCUUGGCUUGCGGACCCUUCCUCCAUCUCCAGAAUCAGUAACGAAAGAUCCAAAGCCAUAUCCUGGCUGAGUUGGCUGAGUUGAGCAGGACACUGACAAGGAGGCUGCUGAGCCUGCAACUCGACUGUUCUGUUUGAGGAGCUCUGUGCUUUAUCAUAGAAAUGGAUCUGAGGUGGGGUGUUGCUUUGUCUUGUGAUCGCAGCUCACGGCAGCCUUGGACUCGUGGGCACGAGCAAUCCUCCCACUUCAGCCUCCCAAGUAGCUGGGACCACAGAAGCGGUGUAUUGCGCCUCAGCAUGGAGGAGGACGUGAAGGCGUACGGAGUCUGGGAGUAGUACACCACGUA
rnacentral:lncRNA from 1 species